GUUAUAGGGUCAAGCGAACAAGUGCAUGUGGUGGAUGCCUUGGCGAUCACAGGCGAUGAAGGACGCGGUAGCCUGCGAAAAGCUACGGGGAGCUGGCAAACAAGCUUUGAUCCGU
rnacentral:rRNA from 1 species